AUGGUGGUCAUCUCCUCCUCUUUUGAGAGAAAUUUUCCCUCAAUCUACCUUCAUUCUCAUGUUCUCACCAUAACUAAGUCUCUUACUGGUCACUUUCUCUCUCUACCACGAACAACCACCAAGCUUCCCUUGUUGUUUUUGGGACCGCCACAACCACCAGAAAAUAACAAGGUUGUUAAGGGGCUUCUUCACAUUUCAAACGUAACAAUGGUGUAUGCUUCUCUCUCCCUCUGA